GUUGUUGCAGUUAAAAAGCUCGUAGUUGGAUUUCUGGCGGGGACGGCUGGUCGGUCUCGAAAGGGGCUGUACUGUUGUUGGUUCCCGUCAUCCUUGGGGAGAGCGGCUCUUACAUUAAGUUGUCGGCGUCGGGAUCCCUAUCUUUUACUGUGAAAAAAUUAGAGUGUUCAAAGCAGGCUUAGGCCCUGAAUACAUUAGCAUGGAAUAAUAAGAUACGACCUUGGUGGUCUAUUUUGUUGGUUUGCACGCCAAGGUAAUGAUUAAUAGGGAUAGUUGGGGGUAUUCGUAUUCAAUUGUCAGAGGUGAAAUUCUUGGAUUUAUGGAAGACGAACUACUGCGAAAGCAUUUACCAAGGAUGUUUUCAUUAAUCAAGAACGAAAGUUAGGGGAUCGAAGAUGAUUAGAUACCAUCGUAGUCUUAACCAUAAACUAUGCCGACUAGGGAUCGGUGGGUGCAUUUUUAGGCCUCAUCGGCACCUUAUGAGAAAUCAAAGUCUUUGGGUUCCGGGGGGAGUAUGGUCGCAAGGCUGAAACUUAAAGA
rnacentral:rRNA from 2 species